rnacentral:ncRNA from 2 species
CAGGCCGAGGGGCGCUGCGACGGGGACGACCCGCCACGCUCGGACUGGAAACACCGACACAAGGGCGCCUCCGAGAU